CAGCUGUGCAGAAGUAUUACAGAAAAGUUGUCCAAGUUUGUUGUGGUGAUGAUUUUCCAACGACGAAUUUGAUCACAUUUACUGGUAUAGACUGUGUUGAAGGUUGCAUUUGGAUGUUGCAUUUGGAUUAUCCACUCAUUGUAUUUCAAUAUUGAGACUUGAAAGUACUAUCAUCUUCUGAUCUUACUCUAUUCAAUCUUGGCUGAAGUGUUCCUUGAAACCUUUCUAAAAAGCUUCACAACUUUCUUGAAUAGGAUGACAGUUUGAAGUUUAUCAUUUGACGUGGUGAAAUUGGUGGAGAAAUUAUCAGCAUUUGAGGAUCAUAUUAAUU